GGUGCCUGAGCACUGGAACAGUUUGCCCAUAGGCAUUGCUGAAUCUCCUUCUCAGGAGAUAUUAAAAAUCCACCUGGAUGCAAUCCUGGGCAAUGUGUGCUAGGUGACCUUUCUUGAUGCAAGGUGAUUGAACUAGAAGAUGGUCCCUUCUAACUUCAACCACUCUGUGAUUCUGUGUGUGGGUUGUGAGAGCAUGGGUUUAUUUUAUCUUUGAACAGGGACAUUGUAGUAUAUAGAUGCAGUAGCAAAUUUAAUGCACACAUUACAACACCACAUCAGGAAGGAUCGUAGCAAUUAUUUUAUAUGUCCGAAUCAUCCAGUCUCUACUGCAUUAGAAAGUCAUUCUAUCUCAGAAGAUAGAAAUGUGUAUCACCAGAGUUAUGACCUCUAGAAUUUCAUAUAACAGAAGUCAAAAACAACAUACCAGGUUUAUUCAAAGAAGAAAAACAUUCAGUGGAAAGUUGGCAGAGCAGAGGUCCCUAGACGGGCUUUUGAGAUGACUCCUCCUCCACAAGCUAUGCACUCACAAGAAUGUCUCUCAUAGCUGCAUUAGGAUGCAGUUUAUAGACAUCGGCAUGAUUUUAAUGAAGUCAGCAGGGUAUUACAGACCUGGAUGGCUUAGCUGAAAGUAAAAUGAAGUCCUAUUGUUUGAGAAAAAAUCACUGAGUAUAGAAGUGCAAAGAGUGAUAUGGUAGAUGACGCUGACACUUUAACAGAUUGUGUUUGAGAGUGAUCAGAAUUGUGUGCCUUUGAAAAAUGUUAAGAUAACCUACAUUGAUAGAAAAUUUUCCAGUUACAGAAUUUAGUUUUAUAGCGUCCUCAUACAUAAGGAGCCCAUUUUAAGGUCUAAAUCAUUUUAGCUCUUCUAAGAUGAGUUGCGUGUCUUCUACUUCACUGACACCACCUUUUCUGAGACAUGCCAGCUUCAGAAAUGGGGCACUGAAGCAAGAAGCUGUAGCACCAGGGCCAGGCAUCAGACACUCACUCCUUUUUCUACUCUAAGACUGUACAGCAGUCACAAGUCUAUCUCAAGUCUAAGCAGACAGAUUGGUUAAGAAGUGAUAAAUCAAACUAUUUCAAUUUUUUUUUUUUUUAUUUUCUACCACAUGACACAACUCUCAGAAGCAAAUUUGGCCUGUCUCAGCAUUGGCAAGUUACCUUGGUAUGAAUCAGGUUUAAAUUUGUCAUGUUUUCAAAUGCAUACCUUUUUAUGCAAAUCCUACUCCUUUCUCACGCUUGCAGUGGACAGCCUGGUCAUUUGUACACAGCUGUUGUGGUGAAAUUCACUCCUGGCUUAGGCUGCAAGCUUCCCUUCUCCAUUCAUAUUUCCAUAGCCUAAGAAAAUACUCUCAGGCGCAGGAGUUCUAUACCACCCCCACAUGUCUGGGCAGGAAGGACAGGAAUCAGAUAAGUAAAUUAAUUACAUCAACAAGUAAGAGACAUUCCCUUUGGAAAGAAAGUCCAGGCCCAAACAGGAGAAGCUCAACACAAGACCUUCCCUGACAAGCACCCAGCCCAUUACCAAGAAGGUCUGAAGCACCUGGGGAAGACUGGAGGGACUGCAGGGAUCUAAAAAGAGUGGCUGAAAAAGCUGCUUGCAGGCUGUUUUAGGAUACUGUAUGUUAGAGACAUGGUACUGGAAAAAGAUCCAGUAAGAUGAGUAAGCAGGAUAAAGUCAUUCAAGAGAGAAAAAUAGAAAAGAAUGAAAAGACUGGUAAGUUAAUUCUAAAAACACAAUACAGAAAGUUAGAAAAGAAUCUAGUACUCUGCAAAAUCCAUAUUAACGGAGUUAAAAGCAGUGUGUGCUUUAUAGAUGGGAAACCUGUUUUUAUUUCCUUGAAGGAAUCAACAAGUUCAUGGAAAGGAAAUGACACUGAUAUAUCAGCUUGGAGUUUACAAGAAGAAUUUACAAAGACUCCCAUUAAUAUUUCCCUGAGUAAACCAACCCAUAAUGAGAUAAAAAGGCCACACAGAUACCACUAAUAGUUUUUAUGAAAAGAAACAAAAGAAAUGGAGAGAUGUCAUAAGUAUCUGGCUCUGAAUUUGGGUCUGUGCUAUGAGCUUAAAAAUCUGAAAAUCAGUAUGAAAAGCCAAAUGGCAAAGUUUUGUGACAAUAUGAAAUUAAUCAAAAUAGCAAAGAAUAUGGCUGACUGAAAGGAACUGCAGAAGACCUUCACAAAAUAAUGAAAUAGCAGCUGGAAUUCAACAUUGGUGAAUAUAAAGUAACACAGGUAACAUAUGACACAUGCAGGAGGAAACAGUCCUGAUUUUACAUGAACAGAAGUGAGCUGCCCCUCAGGAAGGGGACUUGAGCGUUAUAACACAGUUUUAACGUCAAUAAGAAAAGUAAAGUGAACACUAGGGAUUACUAGGCAAGACAAGGUUUGUUGCUUAUUAGACCCUUGGUAUACCUGGAAAAUACAGGCAUAGUUUUGGGUAUUGAAAGAGAAUGUCAGGCUUUGGGGUGAAACAGAAACUUCCAUUAGAUUGUUGAAGGCAGCAGUUUGGGCCUCCUUUUUGGCUUCUCUCCUCCAGGCUGAGAAAGUCCAGCUCACUCAAAGUCUCCUCAUGCAUGUCCCUUACAGGGACAUGUGAGGCAAGAAGAAUAAGACAUUAUUUGAAUGUCAUUGUGUUGCUGACUGGAAAAGCUUGUUGUUGACUCCCCAUUAGUUCUGUCACUUUUGCCUCAGUAUAAUCCCACGCUCCUUCUGGAGGAUCAGGUCACAGCAGGCAAUUGAUCCUGGGUAUACAGAGAAAGGUUACCCAAUACCACAAGACAAAAAUACAACCAUGCUGCAGCAAAUCAGACAGCUCGGAUAUCCUUCUGAUGCAGCCAGUUGUUUUGAUUCCUUUAAUCCAUCUUUUUUAAGAUCCUUUCCUGUUAAAACACAAAGCGUUAUAAUCCUCGUGGAUGAGCUGCUACAGCCUGUGAUGAUUACUUCUGAGCCUUCUUCAAGGACCAGUCACUAUUUCCUUCAAGCCCAAGUACCACUCUGCUCCAGUUGCACAAGCUUCCUGCACCCGGUGAGACAGCCUGAUGGGCUGUGAACCGCCACGUUUUUCCUCCCGUGCAUGCAGUGCAAAAGCAAUAUAAAUUUUGUUGUUCAUGUUAUCAUUCGUAUCUAAAAAGGAAAGUAAGGUGGAGGGACAGAAAGAGAAACUAAAAUAAAAAUGAAGCUAAGAGCAACAUUAAAAUAGUCUUCAUACUAUUUCCAUACAAACACAACUGUUUGAUGAGAAUUUUCUUAAUAUGGGAAAGGAGGGACCAUAGACUGAAAAGGACGUAACUUCAAAGAUAGGAACACACUAGUGGGUAGUAAAUACUUAUAAAAUAAGACAUACAUCAGCCUGUCACAUACACUUUCUACAAAAUGAUAUAUAGAUGACUAAAGUGUGAUAAAGAAAUGCAGAAUAAAGUAACACAGAGCCUAAAUUUAGACUCAUGCAGAUUUUUCCAAAUACUGCAUUUUGAAGUAUUAAAAAAAAGACAAGGAUGGAGAGGAAUUAUACAGUCUUUUUUUUUUUUCCCUUUUUUUCUCAAACUAAACACAACUGUUUCACAUCUUCAUUUUUUCUUUGUUUCUUCCCUUUUUUUAAUUUCCCUCAAAUUCCAGCCUUUGUUCCCUUGUCUUGUAACACGUUGUUAUUCUCAAUAUGACAAAAGUUGUACUUUUUAUGCCAAAUUGUUUGAUACAUUUUAAAAAAGAAAAUGAAAGACAGACCUUUGACAGCAAGAUGUGGAAGUUUGCUCGGUGCCAUAAUGUGCUACAUCCGCCAUUUCAGUUCACCCCUUUCCUGGGCCAGCUGCUGUCUGUGCACCCUCAGCCACAGUUUCCUGUCACAGCAGCUGAGAGAGCACCAGUGCUGAGAGGUACUAACUGCUCUAAGUUCCUUAGGUGCUCCUUUGAGAUCAAAUUAAGGCUUUCCUGGUGCAUUUCACAGAAUGGAGACCAGAUCUCUGUGUUAGAAGUGCUUGGCCUCUAAAGAAUAACCCACAGCAUGUCUCUGUGCCUGCUAAGAGAGUGCAGAGGAGAGCUACAAAGGUAAUUUAGGGCCUGGAGCAUCUCCCUUAUGAGAAAAGGCUGAGAGACCUGUAACUGUUCAGCGUGUUUCUCCUGCACAGAAUGAAUUCAAACCUGUCACCAGCCCACGCAACACAGAGAGCCUGGUGGUGUCACUGAGGGCGUGAGUGACAGAAGACAGUUUGGCAAAGGCAGGCAGAGGCCCCACAGCACCCUGCAGCCUGCACCAGCUGUAGAAUCCAACAGUGUGUGCCAACAGCUGAAGCACCUUGUGCUGGGUGUUAGGAAAGACAGCUUUUUAACUUAGAAAAUGAGUACUUCUGCAACAGAAACAACUGUCAGACAAAUAUAGAACUCUGAAAUGACAUUUUUACACUCUCUUUUCAAAGUAAUACUACACUUUAAAGUACAGUGAAACAUAAUGACAGUUCUAAGAGAAGAAGAACAGAUCUGAUUUUAAAGACUAGGUAUAGAACUGAGUCAGACCUGAUCUCAGGGACACCAAAGCAAAUUUGGAAUUACUGCAUGAGGAUCACUUCUGAUGUAGGCAAGUACAACUGAAAUAAGGACCUACCAAUCCCAGAACAACCAGAAGCAGAAAUAUGCUAUGCUGUGGAGGACCUGAAGUCUGUCACAAACUGAGUGCAGGCGGGGCAUACUCCGAAACACUUUCUGGAGUCCAAACCAAAGUCUGAGUACUUUCAGUCAGUAGAGAACUACAUCUCAGAUCUGUCUGUUGAUAAAAUUCCCUAAUUUUGGGAUGCUGCGAGGCUGUUAGGGGGAUGUUGAGGAAAACUUUGGGGUCAAGGAACACUUAAAGCUAUUUCUCAGACUGAUCGUGGUAAUACUUUAUGUAAAGUCAUCAUGAAAGAGGCUGGAGAGGCAAAGUAAGAUACAGCAAGAAGAAAGAUAAAGAUUUUGAAGACCAUGGUAACAAUUCUGAACUGGAACUGAAGCUGCAUAUAAAAUUACCUGCCUAGAUGCAAAAUUAUGUGUUGUUCUGUGAGCUGUAUUUGUAAACAAGGCAGCUUCAGUGCUUCCCUCAAAGGGCACUUUGCAUCCUCAAAAGCAGUUGUUGAAAAGUAAAGGAUUCUUGUGCGAGGCUGAAAGGACACAGAAUCCAAGCACAGAUUCUCACUAAAAGUAGGAGAUAGGUAAGCCUGUGCUCUUUCAGCAGCACACAUGACCAAGCUAGUAUGUAGCACCUACUUAAUUUAAAUAUGUAUAUGUAUAUAUAUAUAUAAAGAUGACUUGGUAAAAUCAUUAUAUAGAAUAAGUUCACCAUAAUUCCUUAUGGUUAGGAGUAUUUGGCAGAAUUUGUUGGGCUUUGGAACACUUUCGUGUGAUCUGGUAUAAGAAAAAGAAAUGACGGAGAUUGCAGCCACAUACAGGAGCCUUUGAUUUGAUCCAUGCAUUCUUCAAAGCCAUUCUGAAAAGACAAAGAAGUACAGCCUGCUUCCAGUUAUCUGCCCUGCUUCAAUUUCUAAUAUCAUGUCCUAUUCUAACAGGGCUAAAAAUUUUCCUGCAGUGGGCAAGAAUCGCUUCUUUCUAUUGAAGUUAUUAAAGCUGUUGCACUUCAUGAAAUAGUUCUUUAAUAUUCCAGCAUAUCUACAGUCAUUGCACUUUUUAUCUCUAAGCCUGCUAAACAGUGCCCAUCAAAAUAUGAAGUAUCCUUUGCCAUUAGAAUCCCUCCUUGCAGAAACCCUUGCUGGUAGUAGUUCUAACAUUUUACUUUACUUGGACUGCAACAAAACUAAAAGUAUCUUGAAUGAUGACAGUAAUGCAUGGAAUUUGCUGUUCUAGAUUUUUUCAUCUAACAUCUUGGUUACGUGAUGUUAUUCACUUUUUGACCUAAAUUAUUAUGCAAUCUUUCUUUGUGCUAUUUAAAAGUUGCCUCAUUUCACCUUAAAUACCACUAAGCAAUGACAGCUGAUGUGAUUCCUAACGUGGUUUGCAAAUGUGAGAUCUUAUUAUCUGACAAACUACUGUAAGCCUGGAAAUAAUCUGAACAUUUUGUUUGGACAUUUAAAACAAUCAAUUUUCUGGAGAUAACUAAUGAGUGAACACUGUUUAGGACAAAUGUAAUAAUAUUAUUUCGGUAUUGUCUAACAGAAGGAUUUAUGAUUUUUUUUUUUUUAACUAGAAGUCUAAAUAGAGUAUUUUGUAUUUUCUAAUAGAGAAAUAGCAGAGAAACUAUGAAAAAGUUUAAGUUUGAUAGUAAAGUACCCUAAUUACACAAAUCGUGUAGCUCAUGAAAAUAGUUGCAGUAAAAAGGGUUGAAUGGCACUUUAAUCCCCAAGUGAUUUCAGAGGCAGAAGCCACCAGCAGUGGGGUAACUGGGAUUGGGCUCCUCUGCAGGGAGAGAAAUGACAGGGAGAGGAGAGGAGCGACACACAAAACUGUACCCUGACAAAACUAGUCAGCAGCACAUGAGAGCAUGGUGUGUCCUGAAUGCUCUUUGAAACCGGUCACUGGAGGACCUGAGUGUGCUACCAAUGGGUAGCAGUGACCUACUGGGUCUCUUAGGUACAGAAAUAUUCAGUGGUUACAAAUACCUCUCUAGUGUAAUCUGGAGGCGUUGCUGGCAUUUGCAAAAGUUAAUCCUGUAGUCAUCCAAACUUCUUGGAUGGCUAAAUUUUAGUGGUUGUCAUCUCACAGGAGGCAGCUUAUAUAUCUGCCAGUAUGUAGCCUCUAAGGUUCUAGUUACACAUGGUUGCAAUAGGCAAGAGCUCAACAGCUUCACAAAAUGCCUCCUAUUUGUUUCCUUUUGCCAUGGAAAAGAUGCAGACAUACAUCAUCUUGUUAAUACAGCCUCUGUCCUGAUUACCCAGUGGCUGGUAAGCCACUCAAGGCAUCUAAUGCAUAAGAGCCAGAACUCCAUAGCCCAUAUCCAAAAGGAAUGCAUAAUUGCUGCCCAAGGCAAGGGCUCUGGCAACAGUACAAAACGUGGCCACUUGCUUUGUCUUAUUUAACCCAAAGUAAGAUAACAAAAGGGCUAAGAGAUCCCCAACCUGGAUCAUCUGACAACAUGAACAUACUUCCAGGUAAAACCUUCUCUAACGUUACUUCAAAACAAAAUGCCAAGAACAGGCUCUAUUAUCCUUCCAACCACACUAUCUUUGGUCAUUGCUUUGUUAUUCUGCAUAAGCAGUUUCACUGCAUCCAGUAAAUAUAUAUAGGGGCAGGAUAACUCAGUCAGUUAACAGUUCCCCCCCAUUUCUGCAUUACUGCAACACCCCAGCCUGACUCUGAGCAGGGCACAAUCUCCCUUUCAGAUGGUAUUUAGCUGGAGACUCUCACCCUUGCUAAGAUUCCCUGCACUUUCCACAAAAGUCAGGCUAUUAACCUCCCUGACCUGACCAUAUUCCACUAUUCAUCAAACCCCAUGGGGGAAGAACUCGCUUAGCACUGACUCAGAAAAAGAUUGCCACCCACUGAAUCAAAACCAUCCCACUUAGCAGCAGCCUGAGUAUGUACAUACAGAGACAUAUGUGUGUUUAUAGUGUAUAUACACACUGUAUGGUGAACAGAAACCAAUGAGGGAUCUGACAUGGCUAUAAUUUGUGUCUCAUAGUAACGUGCUACAUCGUUCAGUGGCAGAAGAUGUUACACAAUCACAUUUACUUACAGGGUAUGUUGUAAGACAAAUACAGAAUUUUCCCUGAUGCUCACAGUUUUGGCAUCCAGGGAGAAGUCCCUAAUCUGUAACUGUAGACUUAAAUAGGUGAAUUUUCACGGGCAGAAGAGCGAAGCAGGGAGUCAGGCCCACAUUAUUUCUCUGACCUCACUGUUUCCUCUCUGCAUUGAGGCUGCUAACAAUAACUUUCCUGUUUGAUAUGUUGUUCUUUCUGCCAGCUGCCACCUUAAAUUAGGCUCUCAUAUGUCCUUUGGUAGGAAGGAUCUUUGGGUUCAAGUCAGGAGAUGCAUUUAACACGUUUCUGAUAUUCCAGCAUAAGCGGCUGUGACAUGAAGGCAAUUUUGAACAUCCACAAACAUCACCACCAAUUACCCCUUUUAUUAGUUCGACAUUGCGGUGGAUGCCCAGGGAGAAUUUCACUGUCAGUCUAAGCAUUUCACAGCUUCCUAUAUUUCAUGGAUAUAUAUAUAUGCUGUGUUUCACAUUUCACUUAUUUGCUGCUCUCCCAAACACCAGCUUCUUAAUUUUAGCUGUUUCAGUAAUAAGGCAUAAAUCACUUUUUUAUGGCUGCUGCACCAUUUUUCUGCUAGCAGCUGUCAUACUGCAUUAGGCUAUAUUAUACAUGAUGAAGAAUGAGGGAGAGGUGGAGCAUAACAUACGCAGCCUAACAAAUUUAUUACGCUGUUCAGCUGAUAGGCCUAUUCGUCUUUCAACACUGAGAGUACAAUAAGUCCUACUAGCCCAAACUAAGAGCACUCCAGGAGAAUGUUAAGAAUGUAGAUUAUAUACAAAUCAGGGAACUCUGAUACUGUGUAUUCAGCUGGGAUAAUCUGCUCCUUGAUAAUGGAGCUGAUGUAUUUUAGGCAUCCAUUACCCUCAGGAAGUUUUUAUGGAAAGGCUUUUAUAAUUCAGUUUCCAAGCACAGUGGAAAUCUGUACUGAACAAUGGGACUGUCUAGCUUGUGGUUAUGUUUAUACGGCUCAAAUACACUAAGGACUUCUCUACGCCACAGACUGGGGGGUGAUGUGGAAAUACAGCAUCACAGCUUCACUGUGAGAUGCAUCCGUGUCCUGUGCUUUGGGAGCAAGUGUGUACCUGCCAGGAGUGGCUCAGGGAGCAGUAGAAAAGCCAAACCUUGCUGCUCUUUUCUGCAGAGGUUGUUCACAGCCAGAAACUUCCCAAUUCACAUUUAUAAUUUCAACACAGCUGGAUUUCUCUGACACAAGAACGAUAGUUUUAAAACUAGCAGUAAGAAAUGGCAAAUGCAAAACUCUGUUCAACACCUCUGGCUCCAGAAAUGCCAGGAUUUUUACAGCUAUCUUGAUAUGUUAUGAAAUUGAAAUUUCCAAGUGGAUUCCUUCUAAACAAAGAACAACCAUUUUUAUACAGAGAAAACAUAAGUUAAACCUAGUAUAAGAAUAUAUUAUUUAGUCUAUAAUAGAUCAGACUACAGAGGACUUCUGCAGCUUAACAAAGCUUUAUGGACUUCUUAAAAGAAAUAUUCUUCCUCUUCCUUUCCCAUGCAAAACCCCCAGCUGCUUCUGCAGUUAUGGGGAAUUCUUUAAAUCACAGCACUGAGACUCCAUAUUAAGGAAUACACACAUUAAAAUAUUUACAAUUUUAACUUCUGCCUAAUUAUCUUCACAGUAGCAUUCAUAGCGUGGGGAACACUGUAAACCAUAGGGUAAUGUUAAUUAUUUGUAAAUGAAAAUUGUAAAGGUUUAAAUAGUGACCUACGUAACUAUUACUGACUGUGUCUACACUCCUCUACGUAAUCCCAUAGUUCUAUCUAAAGCAACAAAAUCCUACCUUGGCUUGUCCUGAAAAAAAUCUAAAAGAGUAAAAUCUAGGGUGGACUCUCAAGGAGCAAAUUCUCCUUUGGUUGCUUUUCAGACAGUAUUAAAUGUCUCCCCUCUACCCUUUAGGACACUAAGAUUUUAGAAGCUGGACGAUUUGAGUCUGAAUUAUUAUAUAGAGCUAUGAAGAAAUCUGAUUCCAUUAAAAAAUACUUACAAAGUAAUCCAUGCUGUUUUGAAUUUGAAACAUUUGCAAAACACUGUUUGAAUGAAGAUUUUGGCAAAUCUUUGUUUUCCUAUCUGGAUAUCAACUCUACUGCAUCCAGUGAGGCCCUUCUAUUCGUUGCAUGUUCUCAGACCUAUGUGCAACACUUUUAGUCCUUUGCUAAUUCAAAUGGCACUGAAUUUAAUUCCUCCAAAAUCAAAAACAAAAGACAAAAAACAAAAACCACUGGAAUACCAGCCUCAGAUUUCGUGGUUUCUUGUGGAAACAGUCCACUAAUCUGGGACAACCUGAAGAGAUCUUUAAAAUCCAUGAUGCAUCGAAGCGCAGAUUUUGUGCUUUUUACUUCUGAUAACAAGUUGUGUAUGUAGUCAAGAUUUUCCUGCAAACCAUGAAUCUUUUCAUACCACUUAACCACAACCGUAAAUAAGCAACUGUUAUGAAACUUGUGGGAUUUCUCUGAGGGGCUUUCUCUGGCAAAUAGGAGCUAAAGCUCCUGGACACUUAGAUUAUUUGUUAAGACUCAAAGAGCAUUAGCCAAUGCCAUGUCUAGUCAGCAUUGCAAUAAAUGGUCAGUGAGCAAUAAAUGAGACCGUAUUUUUCUUUCUUUUCAUCUCUUUAAAAUGAAGUUCAUAUGAGCUGCUUUCUGUCCCAGUGUACGUGCUCAGAGAGCCUUCAGUUGUAAUGUGUCGGGGUGUUACUCCUCACUCCUUUUGUGCAGCCAUACAAGACCUGGGCACUUUUUGUUUUGAAGAGGUUAAUCAUGCCUCAACCUUAUGAAGUGUUUUGAGUGUUAAUGGUCUCUGUUCAGUCCUGCAUUGCUUUGAAAUAGCCCAGCUUAUGUAUCUGUUUAUUUGAACUCAGAUUAGCUAAUGCAGUUGUUUAUUUUUCCUUAGCUAGAGCACUAAAACACUUAUUCUAUAUAGUUUUAAUCAUUUAUUCCUAAGAAACACAUUUUUUCAGCAUAAGAACUUGGAAAAACUUGUUCACUUUGAGUGGGAAGAGUAAGAUGAUUUUAUCCACAUUUGGGUUUUAUUGUUUUAAAAGUGGAAGAGAAAUGACAAAAUGUUGAGACAAUUACAUAUGUGCAAAAUUAUUUGUUUAUUUGAUUUUUUAACCUAGUGAGAUGCAUGUAUAUAUUUAAAUUUUGUUUGGAUAAAAUUUUCCCUUGACACUGUAGUCUACGUAUUUUAAUUUGGUUUAAUGCCUAGAUGCUUUGCGUAGAGCCAAAAACAAAAAGUACAUUCUCCAGCUAUAUCUGAGAGGAUUGCUUGUUAACCGCUUUUUAACCUUUCCUGUCCUCUGCAGAGAAGUAUCAUCAGUGACAAAAAGACUAUUCUCAUUCCCUUCUGUGGAACAGUCUUUGUGAGAGCAGAAUGAAAUUCCGGGGUCAAAACAAACAUUAUGGAGUGUCCAGAAGGAUCAUAUUGAUGUUUCCAAAACAAACUUUCCACUCCUCAUUUUGCAAUCAGGAUUUCUUUUGAAAUUUACCUAUAUUCUGUUUCAGUGAAGGUUAAAAAGCCCAAAUGAAAAGUCUUCUGGCCUGAAAUGACAUGUCUUUCAAAUUUGUAUGUUUGUUGCUGUUUGGCAAGAAAACUGAUAAAUUUUCAUUUUGGGUGGACUAAAAGAAAUGUUUUUAUUGUUGCCGAUUUUUGGGUUUGGCCUACAUACAAGCACAAAUAAAUAAAUUCUUUACACAACUCUAGUCUUCAGAUGAGAAAAAACUAACUUGAUCAGCAAAACUGUCCUUUCAGUUUUACACAUGUAAACAAGAAGUAACCCUAUUUGUUUUCACAGAUUAACUUCAUACUUAUGCAAGAGAAAAGGGAGCAAGAUUUCCUGUCAAAAUAGUGAAAAUGAAAAAAAAAAAAGCUUAAAAGGAAAAGGAAAAGGAAGGGAAAGAAAAAGAAAAGAAAAAGGAAAAUAAAAAGGGAAGAGAAAAGGAAAGAAAAACAAACCAGUGUAACACAGCCACAUCUCUCCUGCGUGUUGUUCAAAACCAGCUGAAACAAAGCUGACUGGAGAUUCUGCAGAAGCAGACUUUGGAAGCAAGCAAAAUAAGUUCAAUUCUGCAGCAGUAAAACAACUCCCCCAGCCACCGCUCUGGGAGGAAUCGGGGGAGUUUCAAGGGGCUGUGACUGGAAAAGAGGAUUAGGAAGAGCCAGAGGGACUUGGCCGACCUUUGUUAACUUCCUGACCCCCACUUUUCCCCCACGGGAUCUAGGUCUGGCCGUGGGAACAGCACCUGCCUUCCCCAGCCUGACUCCUCACCCCGGGAGCUGUGCAGCGCAGCACAGCCCCUCGGGACUCUGCUGCCAUCUCCUGCCAGGGGCCCCACGGUGCCCGUGUCUAUGGGACAGGGGGAAAAGGGCCUAGGGAAGGUGGCACAAAGGUGUUGGUUGCUAGGGGUUCUCUGAUAGCCCUGUCAAGGAAAAGCAUCUAGUCCCUUCUACUUGGGGAGAUCCCAGCUGCUGGGCUCCCAGCACCUUGACCCUUAAGACAGCACAGAAACAGGAGUCAUCAUCCUUAACCUUGGGCCUGUGCCCAAAGCUGUUUUGGGAUCUCACAGGUGGGUACCAGAAGUUAAUCAUGCAUCAUCAGCCAUCCGUCAGCAAUUCCCUUACACCUGAGUUUUAAAACCAUUAGCUACAAGGAACGAAUAAGAUCUGAAAAAUAUAAAUAAACUGAAUAUUGAAGCCCUUCCCUAUAUCACCUAACUCUCUCACAGCAGUGAAAGGGAGUACAGUAAACUACACACAUAUUUCAAUACAUGUACAUGCAAUUUACAACUAUAUGUGCACUACAGACUCAAAAGAGAACCAUACUUAGGUCAGCAGCUUAAUCUCUACUGGCUCCUGUAUGGACAGAUUUUCUUAUAUAAUAUCAUGUGUGAAUGCUGAGUAUGCCUUCAAGUGUGCAUGCAUGCAUGUCUACUGUACACAUCUUUUAUCCUUAAAUUCCUCUUUAGAGGUCUACAAUAGUGAUGAACCAUAUGCAAUACAACGUGUCAACACAGUGGUCAUGAAUGACCCAGUACUCAUGUGAAACACAAGCCAGUGCUUUCACAACUGGCAAAUGCUUUACCCCUACAAGGUUGAUUGCAGGCCCAUGGCAAAAACUGAAGUGGAAAAUUAUGAAUAUGCAGAAAAGCUGGACAGGUUGAUGUCUGUAGAUGAGUGUAAGUUUUGAGAUAAGCAGUGAAGCAACUAAUUGUCUGAAGAAUCAGCAGAGGGAGGGGAAAGAACUGUCUCUCAGAAUAUCUGAUCCUGGUAGUUCUGCAAUCAUUUCUAGGCAAAUAAGAUUUGUAUCUGUCUAGAGCUAUACGGGAAGCAAAAGAAGGAGACCUCCGCUCUGAUUUUGAUCUGUGUCUUGGGAUGUGCCCAUUUCAAGAUGUUUUUCACUUGUUACAUUUCUUUCCCCACCUGCAUCCGCAUUCUCAGAAGAGCAGAAUCUGGAAGAAAUGAACUUGCUUAUGAUCCUGCCUGGUGGCUGAGCUCCCUUUGCAUGAGAGCAUGGUUUGCAAAGGCACUGGUCACAGGUCUGGAGUUUUCUCUGUAGCAUAUGAGAUCUUGUCAGAAAAGUGAGAUGGGGAGUUCCCGAAGUGAUCUACCCUCAGUGGCAGUGAGACUAACUCCCUAAAUGUGAAAGCUUGUUUUAUGAGCCCUUUGUGAGAAAUAAAACUACAAGCAAAUUGCCAAGACUGCUCUCAAGGAGAUAGCUCCAGUACGGUCUUAUAUCUCCACUUCAGUAACAACACAGAAACCUGAUUAAUUGCACUGUGUUUUUAGAAAGUUUGGGAUGCUUCAGGUGGCUACAAAUAACACUGGAGCUUUAAGCAACAAAUGCCUAGAGGAGCUCAAACAUUCCGGGUUUUCCUGUGCUUAAUAUGUUGCAUUGCUAUCUUGAUAUGUAAUGUCACAGAUGGUAAUAUUAGUCAUGAAAGCACAAAGAAGCCAAGUCUGUAGACAACUGAAGGUGGGGGGGAGCAGAGGAGGGAGCAGGGAGAGAGAAAAGAAAGCCAGAGAGAGCAGUGAAUGCCUACAGCAAACAAAUUUUAUUUUAAAGUGUCUUUAUAUGUGCUGAACACCUCCUCAAGACCUAUUGUUGGCAAGAGCAGCUAUAGGAGGCUGUAAAUCCUUAACCUGGCUGGUAUCCACUGCAAAAAGUAGAGCAAGUAGCGUGGUGAAAAUACUUGGAAAUGAAUAGAUGAAGUUAAUUUAACAAUGGGCAGUUUUCCCACAAGUUCUCAUGCAAGAGUGGUGGCUUCCUCUCUGUUUUGUUGUUAUUGUUGUUUUUAAAGCAACUGCAGAGCACUUCUCCAGCAAGGGGAUCGAGGGGCUUGCAUCUCUCUUCUUUGCACCUUUCAAAUGUCUUUUUUUACUAUUUGCUUACAGUACAUUUUACUUACCAUGAAGAGCUUAAGGGAAAACUAAAAGUAUAGAUUAAGUAAGAAAAAAUUAUAGAUUAGAUUCAAGUAUGAAAAGAAAGAACAAGACAGUGACUGAAGGAACUAUUUGAAAGACAAAUUAUAAAGCCCAUCAAACUGCAUAUACCAGAUGGAGUCGUAGGGGCACUUCUUGCAGCUUAACUCGAUCACUAGUGCUCCUGCUUGCUAAGUCAAUUACACUUCCAUGAGCAGAGGAAAUGGAGCCCAUGUUAAAUGAGGUAGCGUACUUCCAUGAAAGAAACACACCUCUUGAGUAAUCUCUAAAGCCAAACAUGCAAUAUUAUUGAAAUAAACUCAGGUGUAGAACAACUGUACUGGUGAAAUUGCUCUUCUCAUCUGAGUCACCUAAAGGUUGGGGAAAACAAUGAGAAAGAUAACAACUGGGCCAAACAGCUGUGAACUGAUAUAAUUGAGUAAUUUUGCAAAAAGAAUUAAUUCCGCGUAGAAGAAAAGUUCAGACACAACGAGAAAUUCACCUCUAGUAAAUAUAACAGGCUGUUCAUAAUUUCUGCUUAGAAACAGAUGUCUCACUUUCCUUUUGCACUUGGUUGACUUUGCAGAGCUUUGAGUAUAUGUGGUGACAAUUAACAAGAAUUUGAAGGAGGAGGAACAGAAAUUGGUGGCUCACAGUUGUGAAUAAGGCAAUACAAAUGAACUAAUUUGUUUUUAGGCUGUGUAAUAAGGAAAACUCCUAACACUGAUUUUAUUCUGCCAUGAAAGAGUUCUCAAAUGAAGGGAUGGAUGCUUAAUAGCCUGAGAUGGAAAAUACUAUACACUGAGAGUACAUAGAAAGAUAUAUUGAACUUCUGCAUCAGUUUUAUAAAGCAUUUGAUCUGUCUAGGCAUACAGAGGCACAAACAGUGAAGCUAUUUUGUUUGAAACAUUUUACAUUUGGAAGGAGAUUUGAUCAUUCUUCAUUGACUGGACAAAUAUAGUGAAAGCAGAAAUAAUGGUCAAUGUUACCCUUCUUUCUUUUAUUUUAUAAUCUGGAUCUGACAGUGUGUACUGCUGCACUGCCUGGAUUCACUUGAGAAAGAAGUAGCAAACUAAGUAACACUGCAUAUGAUAGUUUUGUGAUCUUACUCCCAUUUGUCAUAUACCACUCUUAUUCUCCAUUUCCGAUGUUUUUAUAUAGUCUACCAAGCAGAAGGUCUGAUUUUCAUUUACAAAUUUAUUUUUUCCUAUGUUGAAAGGGCAGGACAAAAACCUAAAUUUGCACCUCCAGUUUUGUAAGAACCUGAGAAUAGACUCAAAAAGCUUUAUAUUGUAUUUAAAGUCCAGAGUGUGAAUGAACUUUCUGAGACUCAAUAUUUUAUUAACGUUUAGCAGAGAUAUAUUUUACAGAAAUAAAUUCAGUGGGUUUAGAUGUUUAGAAUGACAAUUUCUGAAUAAACUGAGGCAACGUAAGUAAGUUCUUAGCCCUUUUACAGAAGAAAACGGGAAAACUAAUCUUUGGUCAUUGAAUUUAAAUGUAUUUCAGUUAAAUAACGUGGCAUACAAGUUCCUUCCAAUGUUUUUUUUCAACCUACUAGAGGCAUAGGCACAAAAUUUGACCUUUCAGACAUUGACACAGAAUAUUCCCUUCCUCCCAAAGCUUCCCCUAGUUGAUGUCAUCCGCACAGUCGGGAUAACAGAUAUAUUUUCUCAGAUCAUGAAUCAUGUCAACCAUACUUCAGCAACACAAGGAAAAAACACAAAGUGCUUUUUUUUUGUUCUGCUCCAGAACAAAAUUCAACCCUUGAACAUCGAUGUCUACUUCCAUUUAGGAUUAUAUUUGUUUCCAGUGAAAGAUGGUGCAGCUCAUCCGACAGAGAUGUCAUGUCCUACUGCCUGUCCAGCAUGGUGCCAGGGCCUGAGAGCCCUGCAGACAGGGCCUGCAGUGCCUGCUCCUCUUGCUUCAUCCUCAGUGUGCCUGUCUUCAAGGCUGGCUGCCCAACUCAGCUGACCAUGCUCCCAAAUCUGCACAGACAGUUCCAUCUCUGAGAGCUCGAUUUCCCUGCCCAGCCUGGCCAGAUGUACAGGAAAGAUAAAGGAUAGGGGAGCAAGAAAUGGAGAAAUUUGAAGACUGACAGAUACAGACAGACCAGGAAAACCUGGAUACAGAUCUACUCAAGUCUGGAACCACAUCUGAUUUAUGGAGCACAGUAUUGCGUCUCAUACCACCUACUACAGCAACAAGCCUUGUACAUCAUUACUAGUGAAAUACAAUUCCUUUCAACUAAAAAGUGUCUUCAGGGUAGCACAUGUUGACCAUUCUUAUUGUUUAUUCAAUUUGUCCCUUCUUAUAUUCUCACCUCUACUACCUGCAUUUUCUUUCUAUCCCAGAUCUGAAUCUCUUUUUCUGUAUGUCAGCAAAAGCAAUGGUGCCUGUCUCACUCCAGCCUAAUUAUGGCCUUGAUUGUCAGUUAUAAUCUCAACUCCAAUCAAAUUGUAUUCUCCAAGAGAAAACAAGCCCUGAUUUUCUAUAAUGCAGCUAUUGAUACGUGCAGGCUACCUCAUCCUGUGGACUUGUGAAGUCCUGUCAUGCCAGUAACUUCCUGCAUUUAAGGGGUACUCUGAAAGUAAUCAGCAGCAGAUGUUGGUAGUAUGGCAGUAGAGACUGAACCUUCUUGUAAAUAUUCCAUUUCAUUUUGUUUCUAUGUGACAGAUGGCAGCAGAGGGGCAGUCCAAUAAAAUGAUGUCUGACAGGGAACUGUAUGAAGCAAAGGUGUGGAACUGAAUUCCUCCAUUUGGAAAAAAUGACACCCACUGGCAUUCAUCAGUGCUUACUGAACAUUUAUGGAGACCAAACAGUAAAUAUGAUCACAGUGAGGCAACGGGUGGUGAUCUUCAGCAGCUGCAAGAAUGACAUUGGAUCACCUCUGUUGGUGCAGAUUUUUCUGAGCGUGGCACACAGGCUCUUGUUCAAUGAUGGCAGAAGUAGUGCUUUGUAGCUGAGUAUUUGCUCUAUUGAAUAGUUAUAUUGUGCUUUAUAUAUGUUGUAGUUUCCAGUUUCCAUGGAAAUAAAUAGAAGGCAUGACUUUUGGAGCUACCUACUUCUUUUUUCUGGUUCAGUUUUUGUGUGUGUGUGUGCGUGUGUGCACAUGUGUUUGUUUAAAUUGGUUUGUUUGGUUUGCUUUUUAGCAUCUUAAAGCAUCCAUCUGGAUUCCACCCAACUAAAUACAUGCACAAGAUAAUGAAAUAUGAUACUGUCUGCUAAUGUGAUUCAUUUCACAUAAAUGGUUAUUGGAGAGCCAUAUUUCAAGACUAUGAGAUCC
rnacentral:lncRNA from 1 species